rnacentral:tRNA from 1 species
UCCCUGGUAGUCCAGGGAUUAAGACUUCGAGCUUCCAAUUCAGAGGGCCAGGGUUUGAUCCCUGGUCAGGGAA